rnacentral:rRNA from 1 species
UUUGCCUCGGGGCGCAGCAGUGGGGGAUAUUGGACAAUGGGGGGAACCCUGAUCCAGCGACGCCGCGUGAGUGAAGAAGUAUUUCGGUAUGUAAAGCUCUGUCAGCAGGGAAGAAAGAAAUGACGGUACCUGACCAAGAAGCCCCGGCUAACUACGUGCCAGCAGCCGCGGUAAUACGUAGGGGGCAAGCGUUAUCCGGAAUUACUGGGUGUAAAGGGAGCGUAGACGGUUAAGUAAGUCUGGAGUGAAAGGCCGGGGCUCAACCCCGGGACUGCUCUGGAAACUAUUUCACUUGAGUGCAGGGG